AAAUUGAAGAGUUUGAUCAUGGCUCAGAUUGAACGCUGGCGGCAGGCCUAACACAUGCAAGUCGAACGGUAACAGGAAGCAGCUUGCUGCUUCGCUGACGAGUGGCGGACGGGUGAGUAAUGUCUGGGAAGCUGCCUGAUGGAGGGGGAUAACUACUGGAAACGGUGGC
rnacentral:rRNA from 1 species